rnacentral:tRNA from 1 species
GGGGUAGUAGUCUAGCUUGGUCAUGAUUCGUGGUUCGGGACCACGAGGUCGUCGGUUCAAAUCCGACCUACCCCA